AUGCAGCUGAUUAGUCCCAUAUAGGGCGAAACGCGCGUCCUGGAU
rfam:Schistosoma haematobium scaffold1626_2, whole genome shotgun sequence.